rnacentral:tRNA from 1 species
AUCUUAUUAGUAUAAGAAGUAUAUUUGUUUUCCAAACAAAAGGUUUAAAAUUAUUAAAUAAGA